ACGGAAGGCAGCAGUGGGGGAUAUUGCACAAUGGGGGAAACCCUGAUGCAGCGACGCCGCGUGAGUGAUGAAGUAUUUCGGUAUGUAAAGCUCUAUCAGCAGGGAAGAAAAUGACGGUACCUGACUAAGAAGCACCGGCUAAAUACGUGCCAGCAGCCGCGGUAAUACGUAUGGUGCAAGCGUUAUCCGGAUUUACUGGGUGUAAAGGGAGCGUAGACGGACGGCUAAGUCUGAUGUGAAAGGUGAGGGCUCAACCCUUAAACUGCAUUGGAAACUGGUCAUCUGGAGUGUCGGAGAGGUAAGUGGAAUUCCUAGUGUAGCGGUGAAAUGCGUAGAUAUUAGGAGGAACACCAGUGGCGAAGGCGGCUUACUGGACUGUAACUGACGUUGAGGCUCGAAAGCGUGGGGAGCAAACAGGAUUAGAUACCCUGGUA
rnacentral:rRNA from 1 species